AUUGAACGCUGGCGGCAGGCCUAACACAUGCAAGUCGAGCGGAUGAUGGGAGCUUGCUCCUGGAUUCAGCGGCGGACGGGUGAGUAAUGCCUAGGAAUCUGCCUGGUAGUGGGGGACAACGUUUCGAAAGGAACGCUAAUACCGCAUACGUCCUACGGGAGAAAGCAGGGGACCUUCGGGCCUUGCGCUAUCAGAUGAGCCUAGGUCGGAUUAGCUAGUAGGUGAGGUAAAGGCUCACCUAGGCGACGAUCCGUAACUGGUCUGAGAGGAUGGUCAGUCACCCUGGAACUGAGACACGGUCCAGACUCCUACGGGAGGCAGCAGUGGGGAAUAUUGGACAAUGGGCGAAAGCCUGAUCCAGCCAUGCCGCGUGUGUGAAGAAGGUCUUCGGAUUGUAAAGCACUUUAAGUUGGGAGGAAGGACAGUAAGUUAAUACCUUGCUGUUUUGACGUUACCGACAGAAUAAGCACCGGCUAACUUCGUGCCAGCAGCCGCCGUAAUAC
rnacentral:rRNA from 1 species